UUGUAUUUUUCAUACCCCACACCCUUCUAUAUCAGGACAUUCCCCCUUUCUUCCCCUCAGAAAACUCUUUAAGAUUAAGGGUCAUAUAAGGGCUCUUCGCCCUGAAGCCCAUGAGAGAAAAAGAACCCCAUAAACCACAGAAAGAAAUAUCCAUGGGGCACUCAGGCAGCCUAAAAGUUCUGACAACAGCAGGCCCUACCCUACGAACAAAGCAGGGACCCCUCACGGGCACGCAGCCAUCUCCUGCACUGCAGCUCUGCUCUCUUCUUUGAUUGGUUUUAGCGGUGACGCCCCCUCUGAAUGCCUCGCUCGGAUUGGCCUACUUCUUGGAUCAGACUGGACGGUGGCCAGAGGAGGACAAGAGAGUUCUACACGGUCUGGAGGGACGAUUUGGGUCACAUCUGAGACGGAGUUGCACAUCAACAAGCGUCCAGGCUCCAGGGACAUGGCGGCGGCCUCUGUGAUGUCGGUGCUGCUGAUGGCGACUGAGAGGAACCGGUGGCAGCGAGUCCAGAGCCCGCUGCUGCUGCUGCCGCUCAGGCAACGAUCCAAAAGAUACUUCUAGCACUUGGAUACUAUCUGGGAGCAACUUGUCAUGCCUGCAUUGUAUGGGACAAGUGUUCGAAAUCAAAUGCAAAAACUGUAAGCUGAUGGAAGAGGCAGCACACAACAUCCCUGGUACUCCAGGGAGAACAUUUGAUAUAGAAGAUAUCUUUGAUCCUGUUCAGGAUACCACGUGACAUUUAAUUAUGUCUCCUUAAGCUCUUCUUGCCUGUAACAGUUAUUCAAAUUCCUCUCCCUCCCCACCAUUUUUUUUUUUAAUGACCUUCACCAUUUUGAGAAGCAUUGGUCACAUAGUAGGAUGCACUUGUAUUGGAAUUUGUCUGAUGUUUUCCUCAAGAUUAGACUGUAGUUGGGGGUCUUGAGGAGGAAGACCACAGAGGUUGUGUCCCUUUCUGCCUUAAUGCCAAUCAAUAUGCUGAAGUCCUCAAAAAGUUCCUGAGAGAUCCAUUUCAAAUUCUAGUCAAAAAAGAACUGAUCAUUGAAAGGUGCUGACAGAAAGAAAGAGGCAUUACCAAGAGGGAACUCCUUGAUAAGAAUUGGAAGCGGAAGUCAGUUUGGGAGGAAAGCUGUGGCCAUAAACAUUGAAGAAGACAAGAAGAUUCUUUGUGACACUGAGACUUUCUACCACACUACGGUGGAGGAAAUGCCAAAGACUGUGGCUGACCUGAUUUAAUCCCUGGAAUGAAAUGGUUAUGCAUGUAGUGCUUGCUACUGCUGAACAGGCAAUCACAUUGUGCAUUGUGUUUCUUUUGAGGAUAAUAUGUGAAGCUUGUCUCAGUGCUCACAACAGAUUAAAAAUACAGAUUUUGAUAACAAAGCAACUUCAGACAUGAUUUCAUGUGAGGUAGUCGUUGGCUUUAUCCUCUUACUUCCUAGUUCUCUGCACAUGGUUGUAUUGAGUAUUUGCCAUCAUUUAAUAAUAUGGACUGAAAGAUAUAAAAGCAGCUAUUUAUAAAGUUUGUCUGCCUUUAUUGUAUUAGUCACUAACUGAAUAGAGCUAAUUUUAAAAUGAUUUUUUUAAGAAAAUACUUAAAUUUAUUUUGUUUGGUAUCAUUUUUUUCAGUAAGGCAUUUUAUUAGCAGUUAGUUGAAUGUUUAUUGAAUGUUCAAUAAAUUACAGUGAAGUACUUUUUCUCUAAA